GAUGAACGCUGGCGGCGUGCCUAAUACAUGCAAGUCAAGCGAACAGACGAGGAGCUUGCUCCUCUGACGUUAGCGGCGGACGGGUGAGUAACACGUGGAUAACCUACCUAUAAGACUGGGAUAACUUCGGGAAACCGGAGCUAAUACCGGAUAAUAUAUUGAACCGCAUGGUUCAAUAGUGAAAGACGGUUUUGCUGUCACUUAUAGAUGGAUCCGCGCCGCAUUAGCUAGUUGGUAAGGUAACGGCUUACCAAGGCAACGAUGCGUAGCCGACCUGAGAGGGUGAUCGGCCACACUGGAACUGAGACACGGUCCAGACUCCUACGGGAGGCAGCAGUAGGGAAUCUUCCGCAAUGGGCGAAAGCCUGACGGAGCAACGCCGCGUGAGUGAUGAAGGUCUUCGGAUCGUAAAACUCUGUUAUUAGGGAAGAACAAAUGCGUAAGUAACUAUGCACGUCUUGACGGUACCUAAUCAGAAAGCCACGGCUAACUACGUG
rnacentral:rRNA from 1 species